CCGGCCGGUUUUUUUUUUGAUUCAUUACACAUAUUUAUUUAUAAUCUUAGUGUUAGUCUUCGUUUCGACUCAGUCGCUGGGGAAACGUUGAAGUAGAAUUGAAGUGCAUGCUUUUGGGAAUACGAAAAAAUACGCAAAGUUAUUUAUUUAAAAUAAUAAUACUUAUUUGCUUAGUAGUGAUGAAGUGCGAUUAUGAAAUGAAAUUAUAUCACACAGAAGCGCAGUGAGAUUAACGGUAAAAACAGUAACUUAAAAGCGUAGUCCCCAGACCCCCCGCGCGGUUUGGCAUUAUUGAAUUCUUUGUGUGAAAAAAGCAAUAAA